UAAGCAGACUAUGUGACAGCAUGAACGUUUUCAGUUCAUGAGGAAAGUCCGGGCAUCAUAAAGCAAGGUAGCUGUUAACGACAGCCGAGGGCGACCUUAGGGCAAGUGCAACAGAGAUAUACUGCCUGUUUUUACAGGUAAUGGUGGAAAGGCGAGGUAAGAGCUCACCAGUGUGCAGGAGACUGUAUAGCUAUGUAAACCCUACCUGAUGCAACGUCUAUUGGUGCUUCAUAUCUUAACGUUAGCUUGACGGAUAUGAAGUAAUGACGGCUGGAGCUUACCGGCGACGGUAAGAGUAGAUAAAUUGUCACACAAGACAGAACCCGGCUUAUCGGUCUGGUUACUUU
rnacentral:RNase_P_RNA from 1 species